CCUACGGGUGGCAGCAGUGGGGAAUAUUGGACAAUGGGCGAAAGCCUGAUCCAGCCAUGCCGCGUGUGUGAAGAAGGCCUUCGGGUUGUAAAGCACUUUCAUUGGGGAAGAAAGCCUUGGGGCUAAUACCCUCGAGGAAGGACAUCACCCACAGAAGAAGCACCGGCUAACUCCGUGCCAGCAGCCGCGGUAAUACGGAGGGUGCGAGCGUUAAUCGGAAUUACUGGGCGUAAAGCGCGCGUAGGCGGUCUGAUAAGCCGGUUGUGAAAGCCCCGGGCUCAACCUGGGAACGGCAUCCGGAACUGUCAGGCUAGAGUGCAGGAGAGGAAGGUAGAAUUCCCGGUGGAGCGGUGAAAUGCGUAGAGAUCGGGAGGAAUACCAGUGGCGAAGGCGGCCUUCUGGACUGACACUGACGCUGAGGUGCGAAAGCGUGGGUAGCAAACAGGAUUAGAUACCCCAGUAGUC
rnacentral:rRNA from 1 species